ACGGGAGCGCCCAGAAGUCUCCGGGUGCCGGUGGGAGGCCUUGUGGACUGCGCCGCGCAUGCUCGGCGGUGUGACGGCUCCGGACUACAUUUCCCACAGGAUACUGCGAUCCGGCCAAUGUAGCCUGAAACUACAUUUCUCAGAGGCCCCUGGAACGACCUCAACCCCUACCUCCUCGCCAGUUCAUUGUGGUCGUUGACCCGGCAGCGACCUUAGGAGUUUUGCGAGGUAGAAGUCGGCCCCCGGCUCAGAGGUUAGAGCAGCCCCGCCGGGAAACCUGAAUUUCUGCAAAGGAACACAGUUAGCACCGGGAGUUCUGCAGACCUGGGUCGGCGCGGAACCUGAACUGAGACAUGCGUGAGCGUUGGAUGGACCGGGAGAGGAUCUCGGGCCUGCGAGUGCGGAAGAGGCAGGGAAAGGGAAGUUUCAGGGAUCAGUGACAUUUGAGGAUGUGGCCAUAGCCUUCUCCCAGCAGGAGUGGGAGAGUCUGGACUGUUCCCAGAGGGGCUUGUACAGAGAUGUGAUGUUGGAAAACUACAGGAACUUGAUGUCAAUGGGACAUUCCCUUUCUAAACCACAUGUGAUCGCCUUAUUGGAACAAUGGAAAGAGCCUGAGGUGACAGUGAGAACAGAUGAAAGAAGAUGGUGCACAGAUGUAAAAAGACAUAAAUAUAAACACCCAAGAAGCUCAAUGAGCUCCAAGAAGGAUGAAUUCAGAGACUCAUGCUGAGACACAUUAUAAUCAAACUGUCAAGACAGAGACAUAAAGAAAAUACUGAAAGCAGCAAAAAAGAAGUGACUCAUUACAUUCAAGGGAUACUCACUAAGAUUAUCAGAUUUCUCAUCAGAAACCUUAGAGGGCAGAGGGCAGAAGGCAGAAGGCAGUGGGCUGACAUGUUCAAAGUGCUAAAAGAAAAGAACUAACAACCAAGACUCCUAAAUCUGACAAAACUAUCCACCAAAACUGAGGGAGAAUUGAAGACAUUCCCAAUUGAGGGAAAGUGUUACCAAGAGAACUGCUCUGCGAGAAAUGCUACAGGGAGUCCUUCCAAUUGAAAUGGAAGGACACUAGACAGUAACUCAGUGCCAUGAGAAGAAAUAAGGAUCUCUAGUAAAUGCCAAUACCUGGGAAAAUUUUAAAGUUCAUAUUAUUGUAACUUUGGUUUGUACUCCACUUUUUGUUUUUUACGUGAUUUAAGAGAUGAAUGCAUUAAAAAAUUAUUAAUCUAUGUUUUCGGACACACAAUGUAUAAAGAGGUAAUUUUAUGACAUUACUAUCUAAAAGUGUUGGGGAUGGAGUUGUAUAAGAUCAGAGUUUUUCUGUGUUAUUAAAGAUAAGCUGGUAAAAGUUCAAAUCAGAGUAUUACAAAUCUAGGAUGUGAAAUGUAAUCUCCAUGGUAACCACAAAGAAAAUCGUUAUGGAAUAUACACAAAAUGAAAUGAGAAUGAAAUUAAAAUGUUUCACUUUUGAAAAAUCAAACACACAAAAUAGAGAGUAAUAUAGGAGGCCAGGCGCGGUGGCUCAAGCCUGUAAUCCCAGCACUUUGGGAGGCCGAGACGGGCGGAUCACGAGGUCAGGAGAUCGAGACCAUCCUGGC